CACUGGUGGUAGCUGCUAUAGAGAACAAAGCACUAAGAAAGACUUCUUUAGAUUUUUCACACAAAGACCAUUAGUGAGCACUCCUCCCACAUUCCUCUCACACCUCUGGAAACUUGGCCUAUGGAAAUUUUGCAGCAAUCAUAAUGAAGGUAUAUAUGACUAGAGUCAUUCCCACUCCACCUGAAUGGUAAAAAAUAGUACAAAGAUGGCUUAAGAAUGGCAAGAUAUUAGAGAAGAUACCAUCACAGACAAAUGAGGAAAACA
rnacentral:lncRNA from 1 species